GGUGCAUCACAGUCGUUCUUCACUAGCUAGCUUUACGCCGCGCUCACGCUAAAGCUGCCAGUUGAAGAGCUGUUGUGAGUAAC
rnacentral:pre_miRNA from 10 species